rnacentral:lncRNA from 1 species
AAAAGCCUGUGGUGGGGGAAGGGAGUGAAGGCAUGUGCCUCCUCAUGGAACACAGGGUCGGAGUCGGCUAGGAGGGAUAAGAGUACAAUAGAGGGUUGUGUGACACAGACAGGCUGCCAGCCCUCAGCAUGGACCCGGCACAUGGAAUCUGUGAUCUUAAAAGAGUCAAGUGACUACCUUUGGCAACCAAAAGAGACACUGCCUUUUAGAAGGCAUAUCAUCUGAAACUGGCUGAAAGAGCUGUCUUACUUAGGAAGAAAAAUCUCUCCUUUGGAAAGAGCUGGAACUUUUAGUAAAACUGAACAGUGAGGUGGCGGAAGAUAAAUAUGCUGAGGCAUGUUUUCAAGGAGGGGAGAGAGAUUCCUUUUCCUCAGCCGGGCACAGAGCUGACCUGAAGUGUAGCACUGUGGUGACCUGGCGGGAUCUGCUCUCCAGUCACUCCCGAGGGCCCUUCUGGGGACAAGGAGACUUUUCUGUGCGGCCUGUUGAUUUGAUAGAGAUGAUGUCUUGCCACAUUGCCCAGGCUGGUCUCAAACUCCAGGCCUAAAGGGAUCC